rnacentral:tRNA from 1 species
UUGGAUUUAGCUCAGUGGUAGAGUGCUUGCCUAGCAAGCACAAGGCCCUGGGUUCCGUCCCCAGCUCCAAA